rnacentral:rRNA from 1 species
UACGUAGGGUGCGAGCGUUGUCCGGAAUUAUUGGGCGUAAAGAGCUCGUAGGCGGUUUGUCGCGUCGGCUGUGAAAACUCGGGACUCAACCCCGAGCCUGCAGUCGAUACGGGCAGACUAGAGUGCUGUAGGGGAGACUGGAAUUCCUGGUGUAGCGGUGAAAUGCGCAGAUAUCAGGAGGAACACCGGUGGCGAAGGCGGGUCUCUGGGCAGUAACUGACGCUGAGGAGCGAAAGCGUGGGGAGCAAACAGG